UACAGAGGGUGCGAGCGUUAAUCGGAAUUACUGGGCGUAAAGCGUGCGUAGACGGUUAUUUAAGUCGGAUGUGAAAGCCCCGGGCUCAACCUGGGAAUUGCAUUCGAGACUGAAUAGCUAGGGUGCGGUAGAGGGAAGCGGAAUUUCCGGUGUAGCGGUGAAAUGCGCAGAUAUCAGGAAGAACACCCGUGGCGAAGGCGGCUCUCUGGAACGCAACUGACGCUGAGACGCGAAAGCGUGGGGAGCGAACAGG
rnacentral:rRNA from 1 species